GAACACCAGUGGCGAAGGCGACUUACUGGGCCGUAACUGACGUUGAUGCGCGAAAGCGUGGGGAGCGAACAGGAUUAGAUACCCUGGUAGUCCACGCCGUAAACGAUGAGUGCUAGGUGUAGCGGGUAUCGACCCCUGCUGUGCCGGAGUUAACACAAUAAGCACUCCGCCUGGGGAGUACGGCCGCAAGGUUGAAACUCAAAGGAAUUGACGGGGGCCCGCACAAGCAGCGGAGCAUGUGGUUUAAUUCGAAGCAACGCGAAGAACCUUACCAGGUCUUGACAUCGAGGCAAAGCCGUAGAGAUACGGUGUUCAGCAAUGAGGCCGAAGACAGGUGGUGCAUGGUUGUCGUCAGCUCGUGUCGUGAGAUGUUGGGUUAAGUCCCGCAACGAGCGCAACCCUUAUUGUCAGUUACUAACGGGUAAAGCUGAGGACUCUGACGAGACUGCCGGGGACAGCUCGGAGGAAGGUGGGGACGACGUCAAAUCAUCAUGCCCCUUAUGACCUGGGCUACACACGUGCUACAAUGGUGGUUACAGAGAGGAGCGAGCCCGCGAGGGGGAGCGGAUCUCAAAAAAGCCAUCUCAGUUCGGAUUGUGGGCUGCAACCCGCCCACAUGAAGUUG
rnacentral:rRNA from 1 species